UUAGGGGAAGAGGACUGGUGAUGAAGAAGGACUGGUGGUCCAGAGUGUGGAAGGGUCUGAGGGGACUAUGUGGAGGAAGAGGGGAUGCGUCUGGGAGCACUGUGUGAGGAGAAGGGUUGUAGGCCCAGUCGAGACUGGAGAACCACGACAGGAGAACCACUGGUACUUUAACAGUCUAAGGCAUUGUAGGGACUUCAGGAAGACACUUGUGUUUUGUGUUCUAGGGGUGAGGGUGAUGGAUUUAGUUGGGGUUGAAGAAACUAGUUUGUAGUGCUCCUGGCUGCUUAAUUCCUAUCUUAUGGCCUGGGUACUAGAGAAGCAGCCAGAUCCGGCUGCCACCAGGUCUUAUGUGACUGUCUUCUUAGUCUAUCUUGGAUCUGUGGGGCUGAGACAGGGAUUUCUUCCCCUAGCUGAUGUCCCCCGGAGACCCUUCCCCCAUGGGGUUUCUGUCAACCCCCAACCCUUGUUCCUGUUCCUCCCAGAAGCCUGCCUUGGUCUCUAUCCCCCCUCCCCCACUUUGCCCUGCCCUUAAGCUCUUGGGUGUGCUCAUUUCCCACUUCCUUCCUCACCCUGGGGCCUGCCCUGGUCCUUGCCCGUCUAGGAUCUUUUCCCUGCCUGGGACUUUGUACUCCAUGACCAGAGACCACAGUAACCAGCAACAAGGUUCAGAUCCCAUCCCACUACUACCACCAAGGUCUCUGCCAACUGAUUUACAAGUGACUGGUAGCCACAUUUUACUGCUUGUCAGUAACUGAUUUUCCCCAUCCUUGUCCUUCCUCUGGGGCGGGGAAUCCUAGGGCCCUCAGGAAUUCUGGGCUUCUCUGGGAGGGAGGGAAGAAGUAAGGAGUACUGAGGAUCUUUGAUUUGUCUUUUCAGGGGUAGGCUGCUAUUGUAAGCCUAACCUUGGAAGGGAUGUGAGGUUCCAGCCUCAGCUAGGGGAGGAAAAGGGAGUGGCUCCUCAUACUCUUGGAUUGGAAAUUGUCAGAAGUAGGACCUAGUCCUCUUGAUGCGGGGUUGGGGGAGCUCCUCUGCUUCCUUAUGGGGGACUUGAAAUAAUGCCAGAGGUCUUUUUGCUUCUGCUGGCUGGGAGAGGGUGGGAAAGGGCUGCUUUCCACACCGUGACUGAAUGAG
rnacentral:lncRNA from 1 species